UGAAAUACAUAACGGUUAUGACGACUUACGGUUAUUCCUAUAAAGACUUUUCUCCAUCUUCUGGGGAAUCAGAAGUUUUUAGCGAUAUUCCUUCUGAAGGACAACCUCAAGCUUCUUUUUCUUAUUACAAUAAAGAGUUUAGUUCUCGCCCUCCUCUCGAAGAUUCCGCCCCCUACCCUUUUCAAAAAACCUACCGCGUUUUUGUGGGAGGUCUUUCCGUGUACACUAAUGAAGUUCAAUUAAGAGCUUGUUUUGAACGAUUUGGAGAUCUUCACACCAUUAGACUUGUGAAGUACAGAGACACCGACCGCUCCCAAGGCUUCGCUUUUAUUGAUUUUAAGGAGCACCACAGCGCUGAGAACGCCGUGAAAUGGAGUUCUAAAUUUACUCCCAUUUUAGAUGGAAGACGGAUCACUAUUAACUGGGCUGAAAGAAGAAGGCGUAGUGAUCAUGAUGAAAGUCUGGUGGAAUCUUCUUCCGAAAAAGCGGAUAAACGCGCUCGCCCUAUAACUGAAUUUCGGUUGGCGGAGGAGGAGAGGGGAUGUACGUGGGAGUACAUAUGGGUUCAGGACGACUCAGAGCUAGAGUUACUAGAUUAUGAAGAAUAUACGAAGUAUGGCCCAUACUCGUCGGCACAAAUGGCCGAAUGGAAAAAUAAUGGCUUUUUUAACUACGGCCGCGUCCUCGUGAGAAGAAUAGAGGAAGACAGCUUAACCGAAUUUAUAGAUAUCCAGGAAAUCGACUUUGAUUUGUUCCCAUAAAUAUUAUUUUAAACUUCGUGAAACCUUAGCGCCAACGUUAAGCGACUUAAGCAUAUCAAGCGCUCCAAAAAUUUUACUUGCAUUCGGAACGAGAAGAGCUAAUAAUUUACGGAGAUCGAACGAGUGAAAUCCAAGUUUGGAGGAAUCCCAGGCGCGCGAAAUUUUGUGAUCAAUGAGAUAUAACUCUAUUGGGCAAAAAAAGAAUACACCAAUAAAGCUAAGUCAUUUCCAUGUGUUAAACCUCUUCGAAAAACUUUCAACUCUUUAAAAGAGUCAUAUAGAGCCGCUAAUAAACCAUGUACUCUGGUGACACGUGCUUCCUGCUGCUCCAAGUACUGUCUCGAGGGAGGGCUUUACGCAAAAACAGUAAAGCAGUGCGUUAUAGAGGAAAACCAUAUCUUUACUGGAAGUUUCUAAAAGGGUUGCUUUCGAAGCGAAAAACGUAGAAAAAAGCGGUUGCAACUUUUUUUCGACUA